CACUGCAUUCCCUCAACUUUAACGGUAUCACCCCAGCUUUCUCAAUCAUGCCCCCCAAUUUUCUCUUCGGACUCGGUUGCCUUUACUAAACUGGUUCAAUUCUCUGCCAAAUCUGGGCCUUUAAUCCUUGGCAAGCUUACUCAUGCCCACAUGGGCUGCCUCUUCUUGCUCAACAAUAUUCUUAAUUUGUAUGGUGCAUAUGGCGAGAUGGGUAUUGCUCAAAACAUGUUUGAUUGAAUGCCUGACCGUUGUGUGAUUUCUUAUAAUCUUUUGAUUUUUGGAUAUGCGAGAUGGGUUCUUAUGAAAAGGCCUUUGGUUUUUUUAAUGAAGCUAGAGUGGCUUGUUCAAAGCUCGAUGAGUUUAGUUAUGUGGGAGUGCUAAGCGCUUGUUGUCAAACAGUGGAUAUUGUAAUGUGUAAAGUGAUUCGUGGAGUCGCUGUUGUUUGCGGUUUGGCUCAACGAGUGCUUCUGACCAAUUUGUUUAUUGAUGUGUAUUGCAAAUGUGAGAGGGUUGAUCAGGCAAGGCUUUUGAUUCAGUCUUCUGAUGGGUUGGAUACUGUUUCUUGGAAUUCUUUGAUUGCUAGGGUGUCAGAAUUGGUGCAUAUGAGGGACCACUGGAAGUGUUAAUAGAGAUGCAUCAAACUGGAUUAAGCUUGAAUUUUCACUCUUGGAAGUGCCUUAAAGGCUUGUUGUUCAAAUCUCAUUAACAUGAUAGAAUAUGAUAAAACAGUUCAUGAAUGCACUGUCAAACUUGGACUGGAUUUGGAUGUUGUCGCUAGGACUGCAUUGGGUGAUAUGCAUGCUAAAACAUGCAAUCCAAAUUUUCAGAUUGAUUCCUAACCAAAAUGUUGUGCUGUAUAAUGCCAUGAUUGCUGGAUUCAUUCAAACUGACUUUUGGAAUUAUCAGUUUGCCAACUUCAGGUCCUAUGAAGGUGAUGAAAAAUUUGAGUCUUCCAUGAUUGUCAUACAGCAAUGAAGCUCUUGUCAAAAGUGGAAAAGAGAGAAAUAAUUCUUAGAGAUCCACUUCGUCUCCAUCAUUUUAGAGAAGGCUCUUGUUCUUGUAAAGAUUACUGGUAAUUGUAGUAAUGAUCCCUGAAACAAUUUUGUUUGUUGCAAAAUAACGAGUAAGGUGGAAAAAUCCUUAAAUUAGAAGAAUCCAUGGUUAGCAACUUACCAUUGGCUUGGGAAGUGGGCCAAGUUGAAGCGGAAUCUGGAAGUGAUGAGAAAUGGAUCACUAUUGUAAAAACGAUGUUGGAAUUCUUAAUUUAUAGAAAGAGAUCAGAAGUGGCUUCCCUUCUAUGUUACCUAGUUAUUGUACCAUUUGCAGAAAGCCUGGUUAUAUUUCGAAACCCUUUAUCACUAUCAGCAAGAAGUGUGAUCGUUGACUGCCAUUUUAACAAUUUCAGACCCAUGCUUGGAUGCAUUGCUGGCGUAGAUACUUCAAAAGCAUAGUGAAGUUCAAAAGAUCACAGCUUGAAACAAUAGAGAAGGCUCUUAUUCUUGUAAAGCUUACUGGUAAUUGUAGUAACGAUUCCUGAAACAAUAUUGUUUGUUGCAAAAUGACGAGUAAGGUGGAAAAAUCCUUAAAUUAGAAGAAUCCAAGGGUUAGCAACUUACCAUUGGCGCCAAGUUGAAGUGGAAUCUGCAAGUGAAGUGAUGGGAAAUGGAUCACUAUUGUAAAAACGAUGUUGGAAUUCUUAAUUUAUAGAAAGAGAUCAGAAGUGGCUUCCCUACUAUGUUACCGAGUUAUUGUACCAUUUGCAGAAAGCCUGGUUGCAUUUCGAAACCCUUCAUCACUAUCAGCAAGAAGUGUGAUCGUUGCCUACCAUUUUAACAAUUUCAGACCCAUGCUUGGAUGCAUUGCUGGCAUAGGGCUCUAGAAGACUAGCUGAUUUGAGGAUGAGCACCAAUUUGGUGAGGCUCCUUUGGGUGCUUGGAGGUAUGUUAAUCAUAGUCUCUGGGAAGAUUGUUGUAGAGAGAGUAAUUGAUAUUUGGUUUAUGAUAGCUGCAUCUUAUCUGCACCUUUUCAUUCAAUGGAAGGGGUUGAACCCUUGCUAGUGUCUUACGUCUAAGCCAGGGAUGGAAUAUAACCACCUGCCUGGAAUAUCAGAUACAAAUGGGGAAGCUGGACUUAACCAAAAAGAGAGAGAGAGAGAGAGAGAGAGAGAGAGAGAGAGAGAGUAGUAUUUAGGUAAGAUUAGGUAGGAGUCAUCUUUUUGAUGGAUAAGUUGAAUAAUUAUGCAAGAGUAGAUGGUAAUAGUAUUUACAGAAGAUUAACAAAGUAAGCUAAAUUUUCUGAGGUUUCCACACCCUCUGAAGCAGAAUUAAAGUGUUGCUCAAUGAUGAACUACCACCACAAAUCUAAUAGUUGAUCAAUAUCAACUCCCAGAGACUGAUGAAGAACUUAACGUUCUGCUGCUAUUGCCCUUGUAGCAAUGAAUCUCCUUAAGAUUGAAAAGUAGUGAUUAGUUCUUGGAGAUCUAUGUCUUCUCUGUUACUGCAAAAGUUUUUUCUUCUUCUUAUGAUGAACACUUUUUGCUCUACUGAUUUGUUUACUAGGAUUGUGAUUGCUUAUAUUUAUGUUGGAGAACUUGUUUUCAACAAAGAAUGAGCGAAACACUAAUGCCAUUAAAAUAAUAGGAUUCAAUGAUUUUGACUUUUAGGCUGAACAAGCAGUAGAAUUCUCAUGCCAUUAUAGCUUUAUUGAAUUUUAUUAUUAAACAAUAACUUAAGGUCAUAAACCAUGCUUGAGAAGGAAAGGAAAUACGUGUAAUUUGCAUCUCUUUUUUUUUAAAUUAAAUAAUAGCUUUAUUUAUACACACAUGGCAAUGAAUAAAACCAUGCUGUUUCGCAUAUGAAGCAAUGCUACUUCGGUUUUUGAGGAAAAAACAUAAAGUUCACAAAAUAUAAACCUACAUUUCUUGUCUUCAUUUAAAAAGGGUUAUAUUUAUCUUUGGAUUUUUCUGUUGACAGUGAUGGGUAUAGCAUUGUUACUAUCCCAGUUAGAAAAGCUUGGCUUCAUCCAACUGCUUAUUUAUGUUGCUCUUCAAAGUAAACAAAAACUUCCCAAAUUUCCUUCUGCCUCCUUUAGGUACCAGACACUAUUCUCUUCUUAAGUUCUAACCCUCGAAGGAAAACUCGCUAUUCGUUAUUUUUAUACUGAUGGAGAUUUUAGAUCCUCUUCCAUAGUUUCUUUUAAUCCUUAUGCUGUUAUUAGUGUUCGUAAUCAGUUCGAAUUCCUUAAAAAGGCUAUCCAUUUUGAGAAAUACAUCUCUUUCAAGCGGUCCAAAGGAGGGGAGGAAAUGUUUUUUGAAUCCAAGACAAACUGUGGACACUUUGUUUCCUUUAUUUUUUUGUAGUAUAUGUUCCUUGGCCUUCCUUUCCUGUCUGUACUGUAUUGUUUCUUUUCUCUGCCCCAGUGAGGAUGGUUGGCUUGGGUGGGGAGAGGGAUAUAUAUAUAUAUAUAUAUAUAUAUAUAUAUAUAUAUAUAUAUAUAUAUUCUGCAGGGGAAACAACAUUUACUAGUUACAUUGCCUAUGAGUAUAUAUAUAAAGAUGGGACGUGCUUGGCUGUAAAAAAAAAAGUGCCUUGUGGAUGGUGCAUUAAGGAUUGAGCAUGUUGGCAUAUCUUUUUACAUACUAUUUUUUUUUUACUAAGCUACUGAUUAAUCAGUGUUCAGAAGAAUAUUUUGGUGUAGACUGUGUUGCCUUCAUAGUACAGUUUUUACUAAAUAAUAUUUACUUUUCACUUUUGGAAUCAAUAACCCUAAAACUCAUUCUUUA